rnacentral:rRNA from 1 species
AGAGUGAACGCUGGCGGCAGGCCUAACACAUGCAAGUCGAACGGCAGCACAGUCCCGCAAGGGAUGGGUGGCGAGUGGCGGACGGGUGAGGAAUACAUCGGAAUCUACCUUGUCGUGGGGGAUAACGUAGGGAAACUUACGCUAAUACCGCAUACGACCUACGGGUGAAAGCGGCGGACCGCAAGGCGUCGCGCGAUUGGGUGAGCCGAUGUCCGAUUAGCUAGUUGGCGGGGUAAUGGCCCACCAAGGCGACGAUCGGUAGCUGGUCUGAGAGGAUGAUCAGCCACACUGGAACUGAGACACGGUCCAGACUCCUACGGGAGCAGCAGUGGGGAAUAUUGGACAAUGGGCGCAAGCCUGAUCCAGCCAUGCCGCGUGUGUGAAGAAGGCCCUUGGGUUGUAAAGCACGUUUUGUA